AGCUGUAGAUUUCAACGACAAGACUGACUGUGAAAUUCCAUGCAAUACCAACAAUGAUGUUGCUGAAUAUGUAGCAAUUGAGGAAAACCUUGAAGAACCAGCAGUUGAAGAAAAACAUGAAGAACCAACAGUUGAGGAGAAACCUGAAGAACUAGCAGUUGAAGAGAAACCCGAAAAACCAACAAUUGAGGAGAAACAUGAAGAACCAAUAGUUGAGAAGAAACCUGAAGAACCAGUAGUUGAGGAGAAACCAGAAGAACCACUAAUUGAAGAGGAGAAAUCUGAAAGGGUAACUUUCCUAGAAAAGGUGAGGAUCAAGCAUUGUCAAAAGGUUUAUCCAUCUUAUUAGUUGUGUAUGUGCGACGAUUCACAUCUGCUUACUUAUUGAAAGACUAAGUGAAACUUCAAAAUUCUUGCAGAGUAUGCUAGUUGUAGACUCGAACGACAAGACUGACAGUGAAAUUCCAUGCAAUACCAACAAAGAUGCUGCCCACUUUCCCGAAGUUGAGGCAAACCCUGAAGAACCAGCAGUUGAAGGAAAACCUAAAGAACCCGUUGAUGAAGAGAAACCAGAUGUACCAGUGGUUGAGAAACCUGAAAAACAAAUGGUUGAGGAGAAACUUGAAGAACCAAUGAUUGAGGAGAAAUCUGACGAACUAGUCGAGGAGAAAUCUCAACAACCAGCGGCUGAAAAGAAACCUGAAGAACCAGCAGCUAAAGAAUCACUUAAAGAGCUAGCAGGGGAGGAAACAACUGAAGAACUAGCACUUGAAGAGAAACUUAGAGAACCAACAGUUGAAGAACUAGUUCUUGAAGAUAAACCUGAAAACCCAGAAAAUGAAGAGGAUAAACUUGAAACAGUAACUCUCCAGGAAAAGGUAAGAAACAAGCAGUGUCACAGAGUUUAUCCAUCCUAUUAGCUCUACAUAUGCAAUGAAUUCACAUCUGUUUAUCCACUGAAAGACUAAGUGAAACUUUAAAUUUUUCUUGCAGAAUUUACCAAUUGCAGACUCAAACGACAAGACUGACAAUGCAACUCCCUGCAAUAACAACAAUGAUAUUGCUGACUCUGCAGCAGUUAAGGAAAAAACUGAAGAACCAGUAGUUGAGGAAAAACAUGAAGAACCGGCAACUGAAGAGAAAUCUGAAGAAUCAGAAUUUAUGAAAAAAACUGAAGAACCAGCGGUUGAGGUAAAACCUGAAGAACCAUCAGUGGAAGAGAAGCCUGAAGAACCAGCGGUUAGGAAAAAUCCUGAAGAACCAGCAGUUAAUGAGGAACCUGCAAAAUCAGCAACGGAAGAGAAACCUGAAGAACCAAUUGCUGAGGAGAAACUUGAAGAACCAACUCUUAAAGAGAAACCUGGAAAACCAGUAAUUGAAGAAACACCUGAAGAACCAACACUGGAAGUAACACCUAAAGAACAAGCAGAGAAACCUGAAGAACCAGUUGAAGAGGAAAAAACUGACAAGGUAACUCUUUUGGAAAAGGUGAGCAUCAAACACUGUCACAAAUUUUUGCCAUCAUAUUAGUUCUGUAUGUGCAACAAUUCACAUCUAAUUAUCCAUUGAAAGACUAAGUGAAACUUUAAUUCUUCUUGCAGAAUAUACCAGUUGUAGAUUUCAAUGAUACGACUGACAGUGAAAUUCCAUGCAAUACCAACGACGAUGUUGCUGAAGACGUAGCAGUUGAGGAAAACCUUGAAGAACCAUCAGUUGAGGAGAAACCUGAAGAAUUAGCGGUUGAAGAGAAACCUGAAAAACCAGCAAUUGAGGAGAAACGUGAAGAACCAAUAAUUGAGAAGAAACCUAAAGAACCAGCAGUUGAGGAGAAACCUGAAGAACAAACCGUUGAAGAGAGACUUGAAGAACCAACAAUUGAAGAUGAGAAACUUGAAGAACCAACAAAUGAAGAUGAGAAACUUGAAAGGGUA
rnacentral:lncRNA from 1 species